CUGAGUCGUGGCACAAGAAGCGCGAGUUCCCCCUCGCUGUCGGAGGCUGGGUGUCGUUCUCUAGUGCAGAUUGUCUAAUUGAGUUUCUGAAAGUGUCGUCCACGUCUGCACUUCAUGGGUCCAUACACUAGGAACUCACGCCAGAGAACUUCCUGCUCACCAGAUUGGUUUCAGUUUCUCUGUCUCCAUCGAAGAAGUGGCAAGCAUGGUUAGGGCGAGCAACGAGGGUUCCUGUAGUGCAUAACCAUUUCAAGUCGCCCAAGUUCUAAAGAGAGAUCAGAAGUGCCAGCUACUGAAGCAAAAAAAAAGGACCUGAUACACAUUGUAAUCAUGGACUGCUGAUAUACCUGAUGCAUUUCUUCAUGAUGGUCGAUUUCCUUUCACCGGAUCUUACAUGUUUAAUUAUGUGUGCUCGGAACCAAAAACUGAUUGAGAUCUUCAGUUCUUACUUGCAGAUGUUCUGUUAUUCAGAGUAAUUCAGUUUCCAGUCUCUGUGUAUUAAUCAAAUUAUGGGUUAUUUUCAACCAUAUAGGCUUUUAUUAUAUGUUCA